GACGAACUUUGGCGGCGUGCUUAACACAUGCAAGUCGAACGGAAAGGCCCUGCUUUUGUGGGGUGCUCGAGUGGCGAACGGGUGGGUAACACGUGAGUAACCUGCCCUUGACUUUGGGAUAACUUCAGGAAACUGGGGCUAAUACCGGAUAGGAGCUCCUGCUGCAUGGUGGGGGUUGGAAAGUUUCGGCGGUUGGGGAUGGACUCGCGGCUUAUCAGCUUGUUGGUGGGGUAGUGGCUUACCAAGGCUUUGACGGGUAGCCGGCCUGAGAGGGUGACCGGCCACAUUGGGACUGAGAUACGGCCCAGACUCCUACGGGAGGCAGCAGUGGGGAAUAUUGCACAAUGGGCGGAAGCCUGAUGCAGCAACGCCGCGUGCGGGAUGACGGCCUUCGGGUUGUAAACCGCUUUCGCCUGUGACGAAGCGUGAGUGACGGUAAUGGGUAAAGAAGCACCGGCUAACUACGUGCCAGCAGCCGCGGUGAUACGUAGGGUGCGAGCGUUGUCCGGAUUUAUUGGGCGUAAAGGGCUCGUAGGUGGUUGAUCGCGUCGGAAGUGUAAUCUUGGGGCUUAACCCUGAGCGUGCUUUCGAUACGGGUUGACUUGAGGAAGGUAGGGGAGAAUGGAAUUCCUGGUGGAGCGGUGGAAUGCGCAGAUAUCAGGAGGAACACCAGUGGCGAAGGCGGUUCUCUGGGCCUUUCCUGACGCUGAGGAGCGAAAGCGUGGGGAGCGAACAGGCUUAGAUACCCUGGUAGUCCACGCUGUAAACGGUGGGUACUAGGUGUGGGGUCCAUUCCACGGGUUCCGUGCCGUAGCUAACGCUUUAAGUACCCCGCCUGGGGAGUACAGCCGCAAGGCUAAAACUCAAAGGAAUUGGCGGGGCCCCGCACAAGCGGCGGAGCAUGCGGAUUAAUUCGAUGCAACGCGUAGAACCUUACCUGGGUUUGACAUGGAUCGGGAGUGCUCAGAGAUGGGUGUGCCUCUUUUGGGGUCGGUUCACAGGUGGUGCAUGGCUGUCGUCAGCUCGUGUCGUGAGAUGUUGGGUUAAGCCCCGCAACGAGCGCAACCCUUGUUCACUGUUGCCAGCACGUUAUGGUGGGGACUCAGUGGAGACCGCCGGGGUCAACUCGGAGGAAGGUGGGGAUGACGUCAAGUCAUCAUGCCCCUUAUGUCCAGGGCUUCACGCAUGCUACAAUGGCUGGUACAGAGAGUGGCGAGCCUGUGAAGGUGAGCGAAUCUCGGAAAGCCGGUCUCAGUUCGGAUUGGGGUCUGCAACUCGACCUCAUGAAGUCGGAGUCGCUAGUAAUCGCAGAUCAGCAACGCUGCGGUGAAUACGUUCCCGGGGCU
rnacentral:rRNA from 1 species